ensembl:lncRNA
CUCCUGCCCACAUCUACCCUCCACGUCAAUCACCCUCAUUAAUUCCCGCUGGAAAGGAUCACACAGGAGAAGUUCAUCAACUGCUGCUUGGAAAAGGCUGGAGGGCAGGGAAUGGUGUAGAGGGGGAAAGGGCUUGUCCUUGCUGGAGGGGAUUGGGGGCUCUGCUCCUCCUGACCUCCAAGGGGAGCUGAACUGAGCUGAGCUAUCCUUUCUAUCUUCUCAGACCAGUUUACCCCUUCUCUCCAGUGAAAACUCCACUCAACUUGUGAGCUGAUAUGCACCUGUCCUGGCCCCACCUUGGCUGAGAGGUGGCUCCCAAUCUCUGAGGGAGACAAGCCCUUCGCAGAAAGUGCCCAAGAAUUAAUGGGAAUGGGGAAGCUCAGUCCCACUCCUGGCUACUACCAGGCAACCCAAUAGGGCACUGCUUAGCUGCCCCGGGGUGUGGAGGUGCGGGUAGUGAUUCUGUGACUGUGGGAGACACAGGGGGAUCCAGAUGGAAGCACUGUUCCUGAAAACAAACCUAAGGAAACUUCUGGAGUCUUUGAAGGCUGAGCACCCAGCACGGCACCUGGCACACAGGCUAAAUGGUGGCACGUGGAAUAAAUGGAUGAGGUUUAAUGCUGAUUGGACCAUUAGCAUCUCCAGAGCUACAUGCCUCUCCCCUCGGUGGCUGUGGGUGUGGAGACUCAGCAAAGCCUGAAGAAUGAAAACAGUGGGCACUCAGAAAAGAGGAUGGCCAGGGAGGGGCCGUAGGACGCCAGUCACACUCCUGAGGACUUCAAAAGAUGGCUGUCCUUUCUGUCAGCUGGCGAAAAACUCAUUUCCCCUCACCCUCACCCUCUCCUCUGCCUGUCUUAGAGGCCUGUUUGUUUUCUUAUUUGUACUGCCUAGGGUGAGUUCAUGGCCACAACUGACUCACCACUCUUUCCAAGAGACUUGGGGAAGGAAAUAGGGGUUGCUUGGCUGGGGCCUCUGCCCACUAGCCCGGGGACUUUCAGAGCAGGGCCAGGGGGAACAUCGGGGUCUAUUCUGGGCUGUGUGAGCACCUCAAGCCAUUCACCCUCCCCAAACCUGCAAGGCCGAGGAGUCUUCUUUCACGGUAAUUGUCUAGUGGCCAGUCUCCUACCUCAAAUAAGAGGCCUCUCUCCUCAUCUAAAAGUUCUCCCUUCCCUUUGCCAAGGUCGAUUAAAAAGAAAGUUGGAGCUUUGGAGGGGCCCUUGGCAUCUCCCUGGGAAUCGGAGUCACCGCAGCUGAUGUUUGUUCUGAGGGCCCUCCAACAUGCGCCAGGCGCCUUCCUGGACUCAGGGUAGCACUCCUGGGACGCAACGCACGCAGAGCCAAGACCAAGCCAUGGCUGGACUCCAAUCUCUACCCCUCUGUGGACCCAAAUUGACAGAGGCCGACCCUGCCCUCAAGGAGCAUUCAGAUUCAGGGGAAAGGCACAACCUUGCCCCCAAAGAGCCCCUGGUCUAAGAGAAAACUGAAACCCAUUUAAAGAACUCUAAGAUGACAGGACUUCCCUGGUGGUCCAGUGGCUAAGACUCUGGAGGAAGGGGACCGAGGUUGAUCCCUGGUCGGGGAACUAGAUCCCACAUGCCACAACUAAGACCCCAUGCAGCCAGAUAACUAAAUAUUUUUUUAAAAGAACACAAACAUGGGAAUCCAAAGGAAACUCUCCAACUGGAUCAAGAUGAGUGGAGGAUGAAUGAGGGUUGGGGAGAGAAGCACUGUGCGCUCAGAGCUUAGGCAGUAGCUGUCCUGACUUGAGGGCGCCCCUGUUCCUACAUGGGUCAGCUCACUCCUGGCUCCUCCAUCCGGAAGCUCAUUCCCUGACCCCCUCAUUCCCACAAUGCACUGCGCGGGGAGUUGUGCAAGGGUCAGGCGGCAGGGUGGCAGGCUGGCUGGAGAGGGGAGAUUGCUGUCUCCCUCCAACUCCCUGAGGCCUUCCCUCCUGCAGCCCGGCCUCUGUGCAGCAAGCACCCUCCUCCGCGGUUGUUGUCGGCUGUCUGGCCUGAGGCUUCCCCUCCCUCCCCCACACCUUCCUGCCCAAGAACAGCGGCCAGAGGCCUAAACAGGAGAAAGCCAGAGGCCUAAGACAGGAGAAAGCCAGAGGCAAGAGCGGGCUGAGGCAUGGCUGAGUCCACAAGAGCAAGAAGAGAGUCAAAUGUCCCCUGGACAGAGCCUUGUGCUGGGAGGUUUCCUGCCUGAGAUGGGCAUCAGUAAGCACCCAACAAAUAUAGCAGGACUUAGCCCCAGGCUCAGAGACGCCCAAGGUGGACUCUAGAUUUAAAACUAUGAAAAUCAGAGGGUCCUGGAGAGAGAUGUGAGUGAGUGGUUUUAUAACACUCCCAGCCAUCUCCACCUGUAACUGCCUACCUUGGAAG